UACAGAGGGGGCAAGCGUUGUCCGGACUUACUGGGCGUAAAGGGUGCGCAGGCGGCCAAGUGUGUGAGGCGUGAAAGCCUGGGGCUUAACUCCAGAAUUGCACCUCAAACUACAUGGCUAGAGCAUUGGAGAGGGUAGCAGAAUUCACGGUGUAGCAGUGAAAUGCGUAGAUAUCGUGAGGAAUACCAGAGGCGAAGGCGGCUACCUGGACAAUUGCUGACGCUCAGGCACGAAAGCGUGGGGAGCAAAAGGG
rnacentral:rRNA from 1 species